rnacentral:rRNA from 1 species
UACGUAGGGUGCAAGCGUUAAUCGGAAUUACUGGGCGUAAAGCGUGCGCAGGCGGUUGUGCAAGACAGAUGUGAAAUCCCCGGGCUCAACCUGGGAACUGCGUUUGUGACUGUGUUGCUAGAGUGUAGCAGAGGGGGGUGGAAUUCCACGUGUGGCAGUGAAAUGCGUAGAGAUGUGGAGGAACACCGAUGGCGAAGGCAGCCCCCUGGGUUAACACUGACGCUCAUGCACGAAAGCGUGGGGAGCAAACAGGAUUAGAUACCCCGGUAGU